CUUGUCUCUCUCUCCAACAGAAGUUAGUCAAUAAAAGAUAAUACCUCACCCACCUUCUCUCUCUAGCACUCAUGGUGAGCUUUUGUAACACCUGCAAGUAAAAUAGAACCUGCUAAUAGUAAAGUCUGAUUCGCUGAACCUCAAUUAAUUAUCAUGUUCCUUUAUGUCAUGAGUCCUCAUGCUGCUCAGUGUCCUGAAUUAAAUAUUCUGAUUCAGCAGGAGCAUUUGAAGGUGAGAAGCAUUGUGUGCUUUCCCAUAUUAGUUAGAAAGACCUUUUAAUUGUCUCUUUCAGAAAGGCUAUACAAUCAAUUGUCAACAGUUAUAAUCAGCCUCAUUAAUGCCUUGACCAUGAAAUAACUUCAGCCCAAAGUCACUUGAGUUAAUAUUUAAUUGGUGGAUGUUCGGUUAAUGUAGACCAGCACCUGAAUAAGUAUUCAGAAAUCUACUUCCUGGAAUUCUUAAACAAAUAUUUCACCAAGGAAACUCUGAUGUAAGGCCUUACCCAUCUGAGACAUGUCAACACUGAUCUGAAAGCUAAAACAUGGCUGGAAAGAGGCAGAAUGUGUAGAUUAACAAUACUGCAGCAUUUGAGGUAAGGUACCUUGAUGUUUUACAUUAUGAAUGUGCUAUGAUGUGCGAAUUCUCAUAGUAAAUUCAAAUGCUGCAGUUUAACAAUCUUUUUCUGAGAUCAGUAUUUGUUUGACACUUAGGGGUUGGGGCCCAGCUAAGGCUUUUCAUUUGUAGAAAUAAUUUGUGCCUGAAUACAAUGGCUGCUACAUGAUUUGCACCUGCAAACAACUAUCUGAGAGAGAGAGAGACCACCUUUGUGGUGCCUUGGCACUUAAGAAUUACUGAAACAUUCAAGUUGAUGUUUCCCUACUUCAGGGUUGUGAGUUCAAUCCUUGAGGGGGCCACUUAGGGAUCUGGGGCAAAAUCAGUACUUGGUUCUGCUAGUGAAAGCAGGGGGCUGGACUUGAUGACCUUUCAAGGUCCCUUCCAGUUCUAGGAGAUAGGAUAUCUCCAUUAAUUAAAAAAAAAAAAAAGAAAGGGGGCAGCUAACUGGCCAUUUUUAGUGAGAGGUCCUUGACCCUGGAACUUGCUGCCCUGUUGGUCUCUUGUUACCAGAUUCUAUGAAGCUGCUCUGCUCUGCUCUUCCCCUUUUGAGGAGGGGAUGUGAUAGAAAAGGUUUAACCAGUACUGUGGUGGCGUGUGAUUUUAAUGCUGUAUUUUUUUUUUUUAAUGGGCGAGGGGGAAGGAGGAGUUAAUUAUUUAAGUAGUAAGAGUUGUAAAUGGUUUUAUAUUCUUGUUAUAGUUAUGCUAAGAAAGUUGGAUGGAUGCAAUUAAAACCAUGAAUAAAAUUAAAACUAAAUAAUUUUGUGAAACACUCCUGUCUUCAGUGGGCUUUGGAUCAGGACCUAAGGACAGAUCUGUAUGUUCUUUGCUUGGCCUUGAGAAAUGUAAUUGCCAAAUCAGUUUAAUUAAACCAAUCUUAAUAUUUUUAAAAGGGUCUCAACCUGUUCAUGUAAAACUUAAGUAAACAUUUGUCAAAUAACAAAUACAAAACUGUUUGCCAAUGCGUAAGUACAUGAAACACUUAAAACUUGGUACCUCUGUCGUAUAUUUGAGCACUAACCAUCUUAAUGGGCCUCUUACUGGAUUUCCAAGUAUUUAUUUUUACAGGGCAUAUAAAUAUCCUUUGAAAGAUUUAGUUUCAAAAUUUAGAAAACUGUUAGAUUAGUUUAGUUUUCACCCACACACACUUAUUGUACAAAUGUCCACUCCCUUGCAUCUGUACACACACCCAAGGCAUUCAAACACCAUUCUUAGUUCCAAUUAUAAGUAUUGGAGUAUGUAAUGCAGCAUGAUCUGGUAGAAAAUGGAAGAGCAAAGGCAAAAAAUUUUUUUGUAAAAUCUAAUGUUGUUAAAAGAAUAUGAUCUUUGCUACCAUCCCACGACUGACCUGUGUAGGAAAUCCAGGGCAUCUCUUGGAUAAAACGAAGAACUGAACCUUAAUUUUUUACAAGUUUACGUGUGAGACUUUGGACAUUCUAACAACACAUAAAAAGUAAUUUAUUUUAUUCAUAUACCAAGAAUUAGAGUCCCCUUUCCUCACAUUCUUGGUUAAAGAAGCAAAACCUGCAGUAAACCAAUUUUUUUCCCUCUGCACAUACUUAAACCUUGGUUUGAGGUGAGAAGCAUGCUUUAUCUGGAUUCAGUAGGCAGCUCUUAUACAGUCAUUUUGGCUAAUAUACUGCAUAUACAUUGUUUUUAGCAUAGUCAAGAACAGUCAGGUGCCUCAAUUUUUACCUUUCAUACAAAAGAUGAAUGGACAUUUUUGCUUUUAAUCUCCAGUUACACAAAGCCCACGUGGGUGUCUUUUACACACAGAAGAAGCAUACUAAUCCUACUUUAAAUUAUAUUUACUAAUUAAUAUUCAAUGACUUAUCUCCACCAAAUAGCAGACUCUCUCAACACCAUCUAUUUCUUGCUACCAUAUGAAGUGCACAGGGGAAAAUAUUUUAAAAUAUAUUUAAAUUCCCCAGCAAGCAGCUGCAUAUCUCAGAAUUACCGACACCUAUUCAACUCUAAUACAGACCCAUUGUAGAACCAGGUAAGGAAUAUAGGUCUAGAUUUUUAAAAUUAUUUGGGUGCUGUUCUGCUCAGUGUUACAAUGUGCAAGUCCCGAAGCCUGUGUCACUUUUUAAAAUGAGACUUGGGCUCCUAAGUCAGUUAGGUAUUGCAAGGCUGAGCAGAGCAACAUUUAAAUAGCUCUUAAAAUCUGAGUUUUCUGUUUUGAUUAACAAGAUUUUUUUUCCUGCCAGGAAGAAAGCAGGUGCUGGAGUCAUCCUAUACCUUAAGAUGGCUUAUGGAAACUCAGGCAGAUUGGUUUGUACACCAUGAUGUGCCCUCAUGGUUCCUCGGAGUCAUCCCCAGAAAGGAGCACCAGACACCAGGGUCCAUGCCAUGAUGUGGGAACACUAAUAUCAUACAGGAGAACUGGGGGAAGAGGAGGUGUAUGAAAACUUGUGAGAGAGAGGUCUUACUACUACUUACUCUCUAGCACGGCUAUGCAAGGCUGGGUCACAGUCUGACCCUGUAUUAACAUGGCUGUAAGUCUCGCACUGUUAAACACAUCCCCAUGAUCAUUGUCCAUCAGGUAAUCCAUUUCAAUAUCUAUAUUACACCAUGGUAAUCCACAGCUGCUAAACAGAUGAAAUCCUGGCAAUGUGAGUUCUGUCUGCUGUCUUUGCCCUUUGUUGUACAGAAAGUUCUCAACUCAAUACUGAAAUAACUAAUUUAACUGACUAGUGAAAACCAAGAAGAUACCUGGAGAGUCACAGGACAGUAAUGUGCACUGACUCAGGAUAUAGUGAUAGCUCACUCUUAUAAGGAAUCAGAUGUAACAAACUUGUAUUACUUUAGAGAACUAUUGUGAAGUCAAAACUCAAACUGCAAAUUUGAACCAAAUUCAAAAGUUUGGUGCUUACAAAACUCAUUCCUAAUUCAACCACCUCUGUGAAUGAAACCUUGAAAUGCUUCAUAAGCAUUCAAAACAUGUCAGACAAAGAACUAAUGCAAGUCCUGUCUCCUUUUACAGUCUGAGUAAUUUAAAAUGGUCAAGCUGAAACAUGUUCCAAUCUUUUAAUAUUUCAUUACAGGGCUGCUGAGGAUUUACUGCAGGAUAAACCUCUGGGAUGUUUCCUCAUAUGAGUUAGUGAAAGUCAUAUUGGUCAUAGUCCCUCAUAAAAAUAAGAAGCCAACAUUCUAUUGAAAUAAUUCCAGAUAGCUGAGACUGAUUAGCGAAAGUCUGGAUCCCCAGGAAUAUUUUGUCAUAUAUUGCUUUUGCAGUGCCUCGCAGUAACCUUUUCAGCAUGUCUUAAGCUGUAAGGACCUGUUGUCUCUGAUGGCAUCUUGCAGAUAUUCUCCAUCCAACUUGUUGCCAGUGUCUCUCUCACUAGCUGUGAGGUUGUUGUCGUUCUGACUACACAGUCAGUUUUAAUAAAUAUGAUUUCUGCUUCUAUCAGACCAGCACCUUAGCUGCUGGAGGGAGAAGAGGCCCAGGAGCAGAUUUACAGGCUAUCUUUCAGGCAUUCAGAUAUCGUAGUGGUGGGUGUGAUAUAAGAACCUGAAUAGAAUAGGAUUCUAAUUCUUUUUUGUCUGAGCCUAAAAACCUGUUGAUUUAGCAUAACAAAUGUUUUUUUUUAAAAUACAAUUCUUACUGUCUACUCAGCUACUAUUUUUCAUAUUUAAAUAUUUUGGUUGUUUUAGAAAAAUGUUUACAGUGACCUGCAAAGGGAAAUCAUAUAUUUGGGACCCUCCUUUCUUUGUGACAUAUAAUGCAGAUCUGAAAGGUUUUAUUUAAAUUUCAACUUUUUUUUCCUUUUUUUAAAUUUUGUUAACAUUAGAAAUAUCAGGUCUCUUCUUCCCUGUUCUGCUGGAAGAGUCUAUAAGCAACUGGGAGGAACCAAUGCAAAUAUAAUAGCACAAGAGUAUGAAAAUAUAACAGUUGAGUAGGAGAGGGAUUUUUAGUCACUGUUUUGAACACCAAUUUAAUUCAAACUUGAUAUAUGCUUGGGGGGGAGGGGAAAAGCUGAAGCUUCAGUCACUCUCACCCCUUCAACUGAGGCUGAAAAAAAAACUGGAACAGGAGUUUAAUUUAUCAAGAGUCCUCUGGUUAAAAACGUUACAGACAACAUGUGAUGUUCUGGAGGUAAAAAAAUCUAACAGAAAAAAACUUUCCAUAUCUCUCUGUCAUCUCUGUUGUAUGAACACUUCAUAAGUAUUAAUGGACUUAUCCUCACAUCACUAGAGUGAGCUGGGGAAGUAUUAUCCCCAUUUUACAAAUGAGGAAGUGAGGUACAGGAAUGGAGAAAUUUGCCCAAGACAACCCAGGAAAUCUAUGGUAGAGCCAGGAAUGGAAGCAGAUCCCAUGAGUCUCAGUCGAGCACCUUAACCACAAGACCAUCCUUCUUCAGUCCUGCUUUGUAUGGCUUCUGUUUUCAAUAAUUGUUGUAUGGCCCUAGAGACUGGGAAAUAGGUACUUAGAUAUUUGUUCCUCUAAAUAUUUUACAAAUCACCAUAAAACAGUAAAAGGCCCAAGCACAAUUUUUCCUCUGCUGGUUACCUUUUAAAAAUUACACAGACAAGACAAUGACUUUAAGAGCUAUUGACAGCACAACAAAAUCAUUUGAGGACAUUUUUUAUGUUUAAGAAGUAGAUUAAUUUGCAUAACAGACACUGUAGAGUAACGGCCUGUUACAAUUUUUUUUCCAACUUGUAUAGAACUCAAAACAGGCAGUUAACUUCACAAACCCAAUGUAGUGCAGACUGGCCAGGGGGUUCAGCUGCAAAAAUCGGGACUUUUUAUGGGGAAAAUGGGACCACAAUUACAAUGAAAAGUUCUUUCAUAAAGUGAAAUCUGUUCUCCUGGUCUGUAAUGUACCGAAUCAAAAACUCUAUUCAGUGAUGAUAGUAUCUUUAUCCAUUUUCUUCUAGUGCUCUGUCCAUGCUUCCUGACUGAGGAGUUACAUAAUGGAUGGUUCAUUAUUUCAGGAAAGAUUACAAAAUAUAAGACAUUGGAAGACUUGGUGAACUUUUGUAAACAUAAUUCUAUCAGACCUUACAAUUAACUGUUAAUCCAACCAUGUGGAUAGGUAAAUCAAGUAGGAAUGUGCAUCAUCUUUUGUUUUUGCCCUAGAGUCGAGUACUGUAACUGUAUUUUACUUAUGGUGCAGAAACAAUAUAAACUGCUCCUGGGUCUAUGAACAUAGGAAGAAAUGAUAUUGUUGCAGCUUUCAGUAAUCAUACAGUGCCGCUUGCUGGGUGACACAGGUGGUGCUACUAAUGUGUGGUUGAUGCUUAUUAAAAUCCUAGAUAACUUUAUUCUGAGUCAACCUCUCCGGACGCUGCUCCACUUAAGUGACACACAGGAGGGCAGUUGAGUGCUGAGAAACCGCAGACCUGCAGUAGCAAAGGCUGGAUACAGAAAUAAGAGUUUGAAAAGAGAUGCAGGACUAGGAAUUCCCCUCCCUUGAUCCCUCAGACAGGCUUUUAAAGUUGUUUUAUUAAUGAGAAAAUGAGCUAAUAUGUGGUGCUCAGCAUUCCAGGCUGCAUCCCUGCUUUCAUUUUCUAAUGUUAACUUGAGCCAUUAUUUAUAUUCAGGGUCCCCAGUAUUCAGUGAUGCUGUAGCAAUGGAAUUUGCCAUGGAAUUAUGCUCCAGAAUCACUUUUUUUUUUAAUUAAAAAAAAAUGGGAAGCAAUUGUAAUAAAUGCAGUGAUGUCUGCCUGAGUCUGCGGACAGGCUGAAUCAGUAGCUGUAAGGAGGACGUGAACUGCCCCAUUCAUCUCAACAAUGUUGAUCAAAACCUAACAAUUAUAAUUUGUCAAUUUUAAAAAAUAUUGAAUUGGCCACUUUAACAGAAACAAGCAGCAAACAUGCUUAUCCCACAGCCCUAAACAACCUUCCAUAAUUCCCCAACUGUCCCCUAACCAGCUCCCCAAACCCCCAGCUUCACUCCUGACAACUUCUGCGAAGCAAUUAAGCAUUUUCAAUACAAAAUUUUGCAGCACAUCAAAAAUUUACCCUGUCCUUGCAUUUUUAAAUUAAUGAAAUUUAAUACCAAAUUAAAUAACACUAGAAGGUUGUUCCAAUUGAAUUAUUCAUUUUCACAUAUAAUUCUGUAAAAAAAAAAUCCAAUUUUACAUAUAUCUGAAGCAAAGACCAAAUUUUCAGUCUGCUGCACUAGAACACCGCAGAUUCCAGGCUCAGGUUCCUUGACAUCCUGCAGGUCACGUAGGGUCCUGUUCAUAGCCUUACUCACUGUUGUCUAUUUUUUUUCUUUUCAGGAGAGUAAUUAAAAUACUGAUUAUGAAGAAUUGUUUUCUCACAGAGUUAUUUUAAAUAAUUAUAUGAGUUGUGCAAAUCUCUUAGUGGCUUUGCUCCCUGAGAAUCUGACUGAAACCAGCGGCUGCAUUUCAGGGUCCACGCUAGCACAGCAAACUAUUCCAGGAAAUAGAACAACAAUGCAACUUAAUCUUCCAGCAGAUCAGGAAGCUCCCCCACUCCCACCCAGGACAGUGGCACCCAAAUGAUCCUUCAACAUUAGUGACAAAGAACCUUCUUCAAUACAAACUGAUCGUCCUAGCUGCAGUUUGAAUGGACUUUAUGCUCCAGUUACAGAAGAAAUGAAGUCUGAGUCAAAUAGAUCUAGCUGCUGUUACCUGAGGAAAUCAGGAGCUCGUACUAUCAUGUGCUGAAAAUCUUCCACAGAGAGUCUGCCAUCAUUGUCUUGAUCAGCUUCAUCAAUCACCUUAUCACAUACAAGACAAACCUCCUCUGGGUUACCUGUACAGGAAGGCUGAAUAUUGAGAUAUGAAAAGCUGCAACAAUGAGGUUCAGACAGAGCGGAGGAUCAGGUAACCACCUUCCCUGCUUCAUGGAUUUCAGAAUCAUAAUAGGAGCAUUUCAUCAAAUCUUUAGUCUGAAUACAUAAGACUCUCAUACAGCAUCAUUCACCUGCUUCCUGUGUGCUCUGCAGAGACUCAUAUUACAGCAUUUAACAAACAACUAACACAAUUUCUAUCCCUUGUCUCUGAACUAGAUAGGGGACUGUGUGGAUUUUAGUUUUAUGUUUCUAGCAAGUAAAUUCACAUACCUAAUG